rnacentral:tRNA from 1 species
GCGGGUAUCGUAUAGUGGUUAUUACAUGGGCUUCCCAAGCCCAGGAGGCGGGUUCGAUUCCCGCUACCCGCUCCA